rnacentral:rRNA from 1 species
AUGAACGCUGGCGGCGCGCCUAAUACAUGCAAGUCGAGCGAGAAGACGUAGCAAUACGUUUGUAAAGCGGCGAACGGGUGAGGAAUACAUGGGUAACCUACCCUCGAGUGGGGAAUAACUAGCCGAAAGGUUAGCUAAUACCGCGUACGCUCCUUGGACUUCGGUUCAGGGAGGAAAGCGAUACCGUGGGUAUCGCGCUCUUGGUUGGGCUCAUGUCCUAUCAGCUUGUUGGUGAGGUAACGGCUCACCAAGGCUUCGACGGGUAGCUGGUCUGAGAGGACGAUCAGCCACACUGGCACUGCGACACGGGCCAGACUCCUACGGGAGGCAGCAGUAAGGAAUAUUGCGCAAUGGGCGAAAGCCUGACGCAGCGACGCCGCGU